AUUGAACGCUGGCGGCAUGCUUUACACAUGCAAGUCGAACGGUAACAGGCCUUCGGGUGCUGACGAGUGGCGAACGGGUGAGUAAUGCAUCGGAACGUGCCCAGAGGUGGGGGAUAACGCAGCGAAAGCUGUGCUAAUACCGCAUGUGAUCUGAGGAUGAAAGCGGGGGACCAGGCAGCAAUGUUUGGCCUCGCGCCUUUGGAGCGGCCGAUGUCAGAUUAGGUAGUUGGUGGGGUAAAGGCCUACCAAGCCGACGAUCUGUAGCUGGUCUGAGAGGACGACCAGCCACACUGGGACUGAGACACGGCCCAGACUCCUACGGGAGGCAGCAGUGGGGAAUUUGGGACAAUGGGCGCAAGCCUGAUCCAGCAAUGCCGCGUGCGGGAAGAAGGCCUUCGGGUUGUAAACCGCUUUUGUACGGAACGAAAAUGCUCUGGCUAAUACCUGGGGCUGAUGACGGUACCGUAAGAAUAAGCACCGGCUAACUACGU
rnacentral:rRNA from 1 species